rnacentral:rRNA from 1 species
GUAUUUUGACCGUGCAAAGGUAGCGCAAUCACUUGUCUUUUAAAUGAAGACCCGUAUGAAUGGUGAAACGAGGGCUUAACUGUCUCCCUUUUCUAGUCAAUGAAAUUGAUCUACCCGUGCAGAAGCGGGGUAUGACCACCGAAGAUGUUAAGACCCUUUGGAGCUUAAGAUAAAAAUCAACUAUGUUAAUAAUUAAACAAAACUAAACCAAAUAGCUAUGAUUUAUAUCUUCGGUUGGGGCGACCACGGGAGAAAAUAAAGCUCCCACGUAGACAGGGAUAACCCUAAAGCCAAGAAAGACAUUUCUAAGACACAGAACAUCUGACCAAUUGAUCCGGCCAACCAGCCGACCAACGAACCAAGUUACCCUAGGGAUAACAGCGCAAUCCCCUUUCAGAGUCCAUAUCGACAAGGGGGUUUACGACCUCGAUGUUGGAUCAAGGACAUCCU